rnacentral:rRNA from 1 species
GAUGAACGCUGGCGGCGUGCUUAACACAUGCAAGUCGAACGAAGCACUUUAUUUGAUGUCCUUCGGUACUGAUUAUUUUGUGACUGAGUGGCGGACGGGUGAGUAACGCGUGGGUAACCUGCCUUGUACAGGGGGAUAACAGUAGGAAACGGCUGCUCAUACCGCAUAAGCGCACAGCAUCGCAUGAUGCAGUGUGAAAAACUCCGGUGGUAUAAGAUGGACCCGCGUUGGAUUAGCUAGUUGGUGAGGUAACGGCCAACCAAGGCGACGAGCCAUAGCCGACCGGAGAGGGUGCCCGGUCACAUUGGGACUGAGACACGGCCCAAACUCCUACGGGAGGCAGCAGUGGGUAAUAUUGCACAAUGGGCGAAAGCCUGAUGCAGCGGCGCCGCGUGAGCGAAGAAGUAUUUCGGUAUGUAAAGCUCUAUCAGCAGGGAAGUUAAUGACGGUACCUGACUAAGAAGCACCGGCUAACUACGUG